AUUGAACGCUGGCGGCAGGCCUAACACAUGCAAGUCGAGCGAGUGGCGGACGGGUGAGUAAUGCAUGGGGAUCUGCCCGUUAGAGGGGGAUCACUACUGGAAACCGUGGCUAAUACCGCAUACUCUCGGUUGAACCCAUCGGGGAUUAGCUGGUGGGGGGGGUAAUGGCUCACCUAGGGGACGAUAUCUAGCUGGGCUGAGAGGAUGAUCGGCCACACUGGGACUGGAACACGGCCCAGACUCCUACGGGAGGCAGCAGUGGGGAAUAUUGGACAAUGGGCGCAAGCCUGAUGCAGCAAUGCCGCGUGUAUGAAGAAGGCCUUAGGGUUGUAAAGUACUUUCAGCGGGGAGGCGUUACCCGCAGAGGAAGCACCGGCUAACUCCGUGCCAGCAGCCGCGGUAAUUC
rnacentral:rRNA from 1 species